rnacentral:rRNA from 1 species
AACGAACGCUGGCGGCAUGCCUAACACAUGUAAGUCGAACGAGACCUUCGGGUCUAGUGGCGCACGGGUGCGUAACGCGUGGGAACCUGCCCUUAGGUUCGGAAUAACUCCCCGAAAGGGGUGCUAAUACCGGAUAAUGUCUUCGGACCAAAGAUUUAUCGCCUUUGGAUGGGCCCGCGUUGGAUUAGCUAGUUGGUAGGGUAAAAGCCUACCAAGGCGACGAUCCAUAGCUGGUCUGAGAGGAUGAUCAGCCACACUGGGACUGAGACACGGCCCAGACUCCUACGGGAAGCAGCAGUGGGGAAUAUUGGACAAUGGGCGAAAGCCUGAUCCAGCAAUGCCGCGUGAGUGAUGAAGGCCUUAGGGUUGUAAAGCUCUUUUACCCGGGAUGAUAAUGACAGUACCGGGAGAAUAAGCUCCGGCUAACUCCGUG